rnacentral:rRNA from 1 species
UAGGGAAUCUUCCACAAUGGACGAAAGUCUGAUGGAGCAACGCCGCGUGAGUGAAGAAGGUCUUCGGAUCGUAAAGCUCUGUUGUUGGUGAAGAAGGAUAGAGGCAGUAACUGGUCUUUAUUUGACGGUAAUCAACCAGAAAGUCACGGCUAACUACGUGCCAC